GGGGCUGACUGGAUUUGACAGCAGGAUGAGGUGUUGUGUAAGCACGCAGAGAGUCGGUAAUCGCUCUCUAUAAUCCCUGGUUAUCGACCAUUUAAUUGGCGCAAACAACUACGCUCUCGCUGCCUAACCGAAGCACAGUAGGUUACUGGCUUUAUCUCUUCACAAGGUGUUGAGACGAGACAUCGCUCAGAAGCUGUUGUUCCGAAGCGUCUGACAAAGCGGUGCAGGAAAAUCGGGAAUAGUCGCAGGAGACGUCUCUAUCCCGCGAUGAAGCUUUAGAGAAUAAGGCAUUGGUUGGUGGUCCAGGUCUUGCCGGUGCACGAAAACGAAGUCUGGAAUAAGCGUGUAGAAAGCACAGGAUUUCCCUGUUUGGACGAGGGUUCAAUCCCCUCCAGCUCCACU
rnacentral:tmRNA from 1 species